rnacentral:rRNA from 1 species
UACGGGGGGGGCAAGCGUUGUUCGGAAUUACUGGGCGUAAAGGGCUCGUAGGUGGCCAACUAAGUCAGACGUGAAAUCCCUCGGCUUAACCGGGGAACUGCGUCUGAUACUGGAUGGCUUGAGUUCGGGAGAGGGAUGCGGAAUUCCAGGUGUAGCGGUGAAAUGCGUAGAUAUCUGGAGGAACACCGGUGGCGAAGGCGGCAUCCUGGACCGAUACUGACACUGAGGAGCGAAAGCUAGGGGAGCAAACGGG